GACGAACGCUGGCGGCGUGCCUAAUACAUGCAAGUAGAACGCUGAAGAGAGGAGCUUGCUCUUCUUGGAUGAGUUGCGAACGGGUGAGUAACGCGUAGGUAACCUGCCUGGUAGCGGGGGAUAACUAUUGGAAACGAUAGCUAAUACCGCAUAAAAUGGAUUAUCGCAUGAUAAUCCAUUGAAAGGUGCAAAUGCAUCACUACCAGAUGGACCUGCGUUGUAUUAGCUAGUUGGUGGGGUAACGGCUCACCAAGGCGACGAUACAUAGCCGACCUGAGAGGGUGAUCGGCCACACUGGGACUGAGACACGGCCCAGACUCCUACGGGAGGCAGCAGUAGGGAAUCUUCGGCAAUGAACGGAAGUCUGACCGAGCAACGCCGCGUGAGUGAAGAAGGUUUUCGGAUCGUAAAGCUCUGUUGUAAGAGAAGAACGAGUGGAGAGGGAAAGUUCACA
rnacentral:rRNA from 1 species